rnacentral:rRNA from 1 species
UGAAUACGAGACGCUAAGGCGUCGAAGUAGUGUAUGUCAUACUUCCAAGAAAAGCUUGCACUGUCAUAGAUAAAAAACGCCUGUACCAUAACCGACACAGGUGGUAGGUAGAGUAUACUAAGGGGCGCGAGAUAACUCUCUCUAAGGAACUCGGCAAAAUAACUCCGUAACUUCGGGAGAAGGAGUGCCUUAUUCGUAAGGUUGCAAUAACAAGAUCCAAGCAACUGUUUAUCAAAAACACAGGUCUCCGCUAAGUCGUAAGACGAUGUAUGGGGGCUGACGCCUGCCCAGUGCCAGAAGGUUAAAGAAGUUGGUUAGCAAUUGCGAAGCUGAUAACUGAAGCCCUGGUGAACGGCGGCCGUAACAAUAACGGUCCUAAGGUAGCGAAAUUCCUUGUCGGGUAAGUUCCGACCCGCACGAAAGGCGUAAUGAUUUGGAUACUGUCUCGGAGAGGGGCUCGGUGAAAUAGACUUGUCUGUGAAGAUGCGGACUACCUGCACCAGGACAGAAAGACCCUAUGAAGCUUUACUGUAACUUGAAAUUGAAAUUGGACUUUAUUCGCGCAGUAUAGGUGGGAGGCGUUGAUUAUAAUCUUGUGGGAUUAUUGGAGCCAUCAGUGAGAUACCACUCUUGUAAUGUUAGAUUUCUAACUUUGAAUCAUUAUCUGGUCAAAGAACAGUUUCAGGCGGGCAGUUUGACUGGGGCGGUCGCCUCCUAAACGGUAACGGAGGCGUACAAAGGUUUCCUCUGAACGGUUAGAAAUCGUAUCUAGAGUGUAAAGGCAUAAGGAAGCUUGACUGUGAGACCUACAAGUCGAGCAGGGACGAAAGUCGGUCUUAGUGAUCUGACGGUACUGAGUGGAAAGGCCGUCACUCAACGGAUAAAAGUUACUCUAAGGAUAACAGGCUGAUCUCCCCCAAGAGUUCACAUCGACGGGGAGGUUUGGCACCUCGAUGUCGGCUCAUCGCAUCCUGGGGCGGUAGUACGUCCCAAGGGUUGGGCUGUUCGCCCAUGAAAGCGGUACGCGAGCUGGGUUCAGAACGUCGUGAGACAGUUCGGUCCAUAUCCGGUGUAGGCGUUAGAAUAUUGAGAGGAGCCUUCUUUAGUACGAGAGGACCGAGAAGGACAUACCUCUGGUGUACCAGUUAUCGUGCCAACGGUAAACGCUGGGUAGCUAUGUAUGGAGUGGAUAACCGCUGAAAGCAUCUAAGUGGGAAGCCCACCUCAAGAUAAGUAUUCUCA